rnacentral:rRNA from 1 species
UAAUACGAAGGGCCCGAGCGUUACUCGGAAUCAUUGGGCUUAAAGCGUACGCAGGCGGAUGCGCAGGCGUCGUGUGAAAUCCCUCCGCUCAACGGAGGAACUGCACGGCGAACCGCGUGUCUUGAGACAAGAAGGGGCGAUCGGAACGCUAGGUGGAGUGGUGAAAUGCGUUGAUAUCUAGCGGAACGCCGAAGGAGAAAUCAGAUCGCUGGGCUUGUCCUGACGCUGAGGUACGAAAGCGUGGGGAGCGAACGGGAUUAGAUACCCCGGUAGUCCACGCCGUAAACGAUGUGCACUAGGUCGUGGUGGGUCUGACCCCUUCUCGGCCGAAGCGAAAGUGGUAAGUGCACCGCCUGGGGAGUACGGUCGCAAGGCUA